rnacentral:rRNA from 1 species
AACGCUAGCUACAGGCUUAACACAUGCAAGUCGAGGGGCAGCAUGAACUUAGCUUGCUAAGUUUGAUGGCGACCGGCGCACGGGUGAGUAACACGUAUCCAACCUGCCGAUGACUCGGGGAUAGCCUUUCGAAAGAAAGAUUAAUACCCGAUGGCAUAGUUCUUCCGCAUGGUGGAACUAUUAAAGAAUUUCGGUCAUCGAUGGGGAUGCGUUCCAUUAGGUUGUUGGCGGGGUAACGGCCCACCAAGCCUUCGAUGGAUAGGGGUUCUGAGAGGAAGGUCCCCCACAUUGGAACUGAGACACGGUCCAAACUCCUACGGGAGGCAGCAGUGAGGAAUAUUGGUCAAUGGACGAGAGUCUGAACCAGCCAAGUAGCGUGAAGGAUGACUGCCCUAUGGGUUGUAAACUUCUUUUAUACGGGAAUAAAGUGAGGCACGUGUGCCUUUUUGUAUGUACCGUAUGAAUAAGGAUCGGCUAACUCCGUGCCAGCAGCCGCGGUAAUACGGAGGAUCCGAGCGUUAUCCGGACUUAUUGGGUUUAAAGGGAGCGUAGGCCGUCUGUUAAGCGUGUUGUGAAAUGUAGAUGCUCAACAUCUGAAUUGCAGCGCGAACUGGCAGACUUGAGUGUGCGCAACGUAGGCGGAAUUCGUGGUGUAGCGGUGAAAUGCUUAGAUAUCACGAAGAACUCCGAUUG